CGAAGCCCUGAUUUGCAAAAUUUGGUGAAGGUUAGCUCAGUCGAACUCAGGUUUUCCUCUGCUGCUGUUGCUUUGAACAGAAUUUGCCAAUUUUUGAGUUUUCUUGGGGUGAACUUGGGAAGCAGGGGCUUUGUAGAGUUGAGUCAUUUUCCCUAUCACCCAGUACUGGAAUUGGGACCCUCUUCACCUGAUUUGGAGUUCGUUAGCUCGUACUCGACGUAGGAGCAUCGGAUUUCGACGAAACUUGAUUCGUUAGUUUCGGGACUACGAGAGGAAUCCACGAAGUCCUUACUUGUGGAUUUUGGUGAAGCUUGGAGAUAGCUUGAUUGUGAGACUCGGACAUUUUCCGUCGAUCCAGCAGGUUGUGCCACAGCCGAGGGAGUCCCGUGCUGCCAGGAAUUUGCACUAGAGGUGGGUUAUCAUCGGUUUCGCUCCUAAG